GUGAAGGUGUGCUGUGAGGCAUGCUGGAGGUAUCAGAAGUGCGAAUGCUGACAUAAGUAACGAUAAAGCGGGUGAAAAGCCCGCUCGCCGGAAGACCAAGGGUUCCUGUCCAACGUUAAUCGGGGCAGGGUGAGUCGACCCCUAAGGCGAGGCCGAAAGGCGUAGUCGAUGGGAAACAGGUUAAUAUUCCUGUACUUGGUGUUACUGCGAAGGGGGGACGGAGAAGGCUAUGUUGGCCGGGCGACGGUUGUCCCGGUUUAAGCGUGUAGGCUGGUUUUCCAGGCAAAUCCGGAAAACUAAGGCUGAGGCGUGAUGACGAGGCACUACGGUGCUGAAGCAACAAAUGCCCUGCUUCCAGGAAAAGCCUCUAAGCAUCAGGUAACAUCAAAUCGUACCCCAAACCGACACAGGUGGUCAGGUAGAGAAUACCAAGGCGCUUGAGAGAACUCGGGUGAAGGAACUAGGCAAAAUGGUGCCGUAACUUCGGGAGAAGGCACGCUGAUAUGUAGGUGAAGUCCCUCGCGGAUGGAGCUGAAAUCAGUCGAAGAUACCAGCUGGCUGCAACUGUUUAUUAAAAACACAGCACUGUGCAAACACGAAAGUGGACGUAUACGGUGUGACGCCUGCCCGGUGCCGGAAGGUUAAUUGAUGGGGUCAGCGCAAGCGAAGCUCUUGAUCGAAGCCCCGGUAAACGGCGGCCGUAACUAUAACGGUCCUAAGGUAGCGAAAUUCCUUGUCGGGUAAGUUCCGACCUGCACGAAUGGCGUAAUGAUGGCCAGGCUGUCUCCACCCGAGACUCAGUGAAAUUGAACUCGCUGUGAAGAUGCAGUGUACCCGCGGCAAGACGGAAAGACCCCGUGAACCUUUACUAUAGCUUGACACUGAACAUUGAGCCUUGAUGUGUAGGAUAGGUGGGAGGCUUUGAAGUGUGGACGCCAGUCUGCAUGGAGCCGACCUUGAAAUACCACCCUUUAAUGUUUGAUGUUCUAACGUUGACCCGUAAUCCGGGUUGCGGACAGUGUCUGGUGGGUAGUUUGACUGGGGCGGUCUCCUCCUAAAGAGUAACGGAGGAGCACGAAGGUUGGCUAAUCCUGGUCGGACAUCAGGAGGUUAGUGCAAUGGCAUAAGCCAGCUUGACUGCGAGCGUGACGGCGCGAGCAGGUGCGAAAGCAGGUCAUAGUGAUCCGGUGGUUCUGAAUGGAAGGGCCAUCGCUCAACGGAUAAAAGGUACUCCGGGGAUAACAGGCUGAUACCGCCCAAGAGUUCAUAUCGACGGCGGUGUUUGGCACCUCGAUGUCGGCUCAUCACAUCCUGGGGCUGAAGUAGGUCCCAAGGGUAUGGCUGUUCGCCAUUUAAAGUGGUACGCGAGCUGGGUUUAGAACGUCGUGAGACAGUUCGGUCCCUAUCUGCCGUGGGCGCUGGAGAACUGAGGGGGGCUGCUCCUAGUACGAGAGGACCGGAGUGGACGCAUCACUGGUGUUCGGGUUGUCAUGCCAAUGGCACUGCCCGGUAGCUAAAUGCGGAAGAGAUAAGUGCUGAAAGCAUCUAAGCACGAAACUUGCCCCGAGAUGAGUUCUCCCUGACUCCUUGAGAGUCCUGAAGGAACGUUGAAG
rnacentral:rRNA from 1 species